UGGGGUGUGGCUCACUGGUAGAACGCCUGCCUAACACAUGUGAGGUCCUGGGUUCGAUCCUCAGCACCUCAA
rnacentral:tRNA from 1 species